CUCUUAUCAAGAGAGGUGGAGGGACAUGGCCCUGUGAAGCCCGGCAACCAGUUUUUUAUACUAAGGUGCCAAUUCCAGCAAAAUUGCAAGAUAAGGG
rnacentral:ncRNA from 2 species